AUUCAAAUAGUUUAACUUAAAAUAUUGGUUUGUGGUGCCGAUGAUAUACUUUUGUAUUUUGGAUU
rnacentral:tRNA from 1 species